GCUAAACGCGAAGAACCUUACCAGGCCUUGACAUGCAGAGAACUUUCCAGAGAUGGAUUGGUGCCUUCGGGAACUCUGACACAGGUGCUGCAUGGCUGUCGUCAGCUCGUGUCGUGAGAUGUUGGGUUAAGUCCCGUAACGAGCGCAACCCGUUGUCCUUAGUUACCAGCACGUCAUGGUGGGCACUCUAAGGAGACUGCCGGUGACAAACCGGAGGAAGGUGGGGAUGGACGUCAAGUCAUCAUGGCCCUUACGGCCUGGGCUACACACGUGCUACAAUGGUCGGUACAGAGGGUUGCCAAGCCGCGAGGUGGAGCUAAUCUCACAAAACCGAUCGUAGUCCGGAUCGCAGUCUGCAACUCGACUGCGUGAAGUCGGAAUCGCUAG
rnacentral:rRNA from 1 species